rnacentral:misc_RNA from 1 species
AACGCACAUUGCGCCCCUCGGUAUUCCGUGGGGCAUGCCUGUUCGAGCGUCAUCUACACCCUCAGCAUUGCUUGGUGUUGGGCGUCUGUCCCGCCUCCGCGCGGCGACUCGCCCCAAAGGCAUUGGCAGCGGUCUCUUGCACCUCUCGCGCAGCACAUUGCGCUUCUCGAGGCGAGGCAGGCCGCGACCACGAAGCUUUUAUUCGUCUUUGACCUCGGAUCAGGUAGGGAUACCCGCUGAACUUAA